UAAUGCAGGAAGUAGUGAUGUGGAUUCAACAGCGAGCAUGAUUCUCCUUCAGUUUCAGUCUGAUGGGGUGUUGCAGCAUGGAGCAAGGAAGCACUGUGGGAGUUGGCUUUCAGAGAGGGUAUUAGCUCUUUUUUUGAGAAAAUCCACAGAAAUUUUGCUCAAGAGAGAUGUGCACUGCAGCACUUUUAAUAUAUAGAUGUCACUGGUAGAGUCCUAAACAGGAAGAAAAGGAGAAAUUGAAUGUGUCCUGCAGGACUUGCCUGCUCCACCCCCUUAUCUCUUUGCAAGUUUCAGCACGACUCAUACAGCUAGUGCUCCACCUUUGCUCUGUAUUCAGCCUGUGAAACAAGUUCUCUGCUUCAGUGACCUCCUCUGGAUUUUCCCUGCUUGCAUCAGUCCACAUAGUCAUUCUUUUAACACCAUGUACUUUGAUGUGAGAAAGAAGGUAAAGGACUGCAAGAGAGUCUGCAUAGGAAGACAAACUGAACAGACCACCUUCUGCUUUGGGAACCCAUACAGUGGAAUUGAAACAACCUGCAUCCACCAGCAAAGCAGAAAAAAAAUGUUUUCAACCACUGUGGUACAAAGUCAGGAGUUUUGUGCAAUGGAUAAAAAAUUGUGCCUUAAUAUGGAAAAAAAAAAAAAAGAGAGAGAGAAAGAGGUUGUUCCUUCAUGGAGAAAUCAAUUUUGAGGUUAUACCUGGUUUAGCAGUACUCAAGAAAAAAAUAAUCAACCAACCUAUGAGGCAUUACAGAGAGACCAAGCCAGCAGGUAAGGCUGGGCAGAAUGUCCUCAGAAUGUAUAUAUAUAUUAUAUGUAUAACAUCAAAAGCAGCCAGUCAAAUAGGAUUUUACUAACAGCCUGGCAACAUUCCCUUCACAGAUAAUACAGGGAUUGCUUUUUUUAGCAUGUCUCAGGGUGGGAGGCAAACUGCUACGCUGAGGCAAAGAAAUGACCAGACUUAGAAAUCCAGUUCUGGGAGGAAAGUGGAUUGGAGAAGACCUUUACUUCAUUACAAAAACACAGAAAAAAACCCAACAUUUAAAAUGCACACACAGUAAAUAGCAGUAUCCAACAGAACAAACAGCAUGCAAGCUAUUCAGGCCAACUGAAACCAUCAGAUUAUGCUGCCAAUCUAUUUUUUCUUUCCAGUUAUUGACUAUUUUGUCAUUUGUGCAUCCAGAGCUAGCUGGAACCUGGUAUCAGAGGAAUGGUGGAAAAGAAAAGAAAAAGAAGGGGAAAAAAGUGUGUCUGCAUAUAUAAAAAAAAGUAGCUCAGUAGAGCCUUCCAAACAUCCAUUUGAGCUGGAUUCAGAUAAAGGUCCAGAUUAGUCUUCUGUCCUAUUUGGAUCUGUUCACUCACCACGUACCACAAAAGCAUGUGUAUUUUUAUCGAUCACCUCUGUCCACACUGCUAUAUUCUCUUCUUUUUUUUGCUGCAUUGUUGCAUUGAUUUCUUCUGCCCAAAUCACAGUAUUGAUUUUUUCCACCUCUGUUACAUCUCCUAUGCUUCACUCAACCACCCCCUUGAUUAAUAGGCAAAGUGCAAGAUUAAGUGCUCAUCCUACAAGCACUUAUGCAUGUGAAGAGUUUACACACAGGGAUAAAUCUAAGGCCAUUUUUUCUGCUGCAGUAUCUGUGCAUAAAGCUAUACAUGAAAUAUUUUAUCUUAGAAUCACUUCAGUUGGAAAAGACACCUAAGAGAACACAGGGAUUACACGGAAGUAUAUUAUGAGGAUGGUAUACAAUCCUUUGCUGUUAGUCUUCAUUAAGAUAAUGAAAAACAACUAAAAACUCUCAGCUCUUCUACCAAAACGUUACUGAAAGGCAGUUUUAGUUAAAAUUAUUGACACAGAGAUGAAAGUAAGACUUUCUGCCAAGGAUAAGCCAGAUUUCCUAUGGAGGUCGCUUCUUGCAGCUGCAGAAAAGGAAAUAGCCUGAUGCACUGAGUGCAUCCUUGUUUUGUCAUAUAUCCUGCUCUGAAGAUACUGAGGUUGUUGGAAAGACCUCUUCUGAUUCUGGAUGCAGGUACUUUGGAAAUCCUACUUACAAUUGCAGCCAAUGAAUCGGAUAUUAAUGGACAUUUAACAGCUAUGGUCAGAAAUUUUCUGUUUAUAAUUUUUCUGUAGAUACUUAUAUUUUUAAAUUUUUCUUUUUUUUUCCUUACCUCAAAAACCAACAACUCUUAUCAAAAAAAAGACACUUUCCAUGAACCAGCAGUGAUAUUUUUUUUCAUAUUUUCAGUGAGAAGUUGAGGUAUUCUACAGGAAAAAACAUCAUGUUUUUUUUUUUUUCUGAGCAGCUGUUAUGUUUAAUAAAAUUACAUUUAAAAUAAUCUUGCA
rnacentral:lncRNA from 1 species